rnacentral:rRNA from 1 species
GACGAACGCUGGCGGCGUGCUUAACACAUGCAAGUCGAAGAUAGUGGCGAACGGGUGAGUAAUACGUGGGUAACCUGACCUCCUUUUUGGGCUAAGCCUUGGAAACGGGGUCUAAUACCGAAUAAAGGGGGAUGGGCUCGCGGCCUAUCAGCUUGUUGGUGGGGUGAUGGCCUACCAAGGCGGUGACGGGUAGCCGGGCUGAGAGGGUGACCGGCCACAUUGGGACUGCGAUACGGCCCAGAGUCCUACGGGUGGGAGCAGUGUGGGAUAUUGCACAAUGGGCGAAGGCCUGAUGCAGCGACUCCGCGUGGGGGAUUAAGGCUUUCGGGUUGUAAACCUCUGUCGCGAUCGAUCGGGUAGGUGGAGAAGAAGCGCCGGCUAACUACGUGCCAGCAGCCGCGGUAAUUC